rnacentral:rRNA from 1 species
GACGAACGCUGGCGGCGUGCCUAAUACAUGCAAGUCGAGCGAGCUUGCCUAGAUGAAUUUGGUGCUUGCACCAGAUGAAACUAGAUACAAGCGAGCGGCGGACGGGUGAGUAACACGUGGGUAACCUGCCCAAGAGACUGGGAUAACACCUGGAAACAGAUGCUAAUACCGGAUAACAACACUAGACGCAUGUCUAGAGUUUAAAAGAUGGUUCUGCUAUCACUCUUGGAUGGACCUGCGGUGCAUUAGCUAGUUGGUAAGGCAACGGCUUACCAAGGCAAUGAUGCAUAGCCGAGUUGAGAGACGGAUCGGCCACAUUGGGACUGAGACACCGCCCAAACUCCUACGGGAGGCAGCAGUAGGGAAUCUUCCACAAUGGACGCAAGUCUGAUGGAGCAACGCCGCGUGAGUGAAGAAGGGUUUCGGCUCGUAAAGCUCUGUUGGUAGUGAAGAAAGAUAGAGGUAGUAACUGGCCUUUAUUUGACGGUAAUUACUUAGAAAGUCACGGCUAACUACGUG